GCCGGUGUGGUGUAGUGGUGUGAGUGUUGGACUACAAUGCUGGAGUCCAGGGUUUGAAUCCCGGCUCAGCCA